CCAUUUUGGAGACAGAAACGAGGAAACCGAGGUUGUAUUUGACGAACGUAUUGUUAAAAAGUAUGGAUUUGAGCAAACAAAUAAAGGGACAUAACUACAGAGGUUAAACAUUGGUACAGGAUGGUCCGAGAUGCCCUGACAAGUAGACCUGGUGGGCAAGACGUAUUGGAAGAGUACCAGACAACCAAAACAUUAGACCACAGAACCAGGAGAGAUGAUUGCCAUCUUAGUCAGCCACAUCCAGGCGUUAUCACAUCCGGCUGUUAUUGGGAGUCCCAUAGGGUGGCGCACAAUUGGCCCAGUGUCGUCCGGGUUUGACCGGAGUAGGCCAUCAUUAUAUCCUUUGCCUAUCAGCUGAAGACUGUGUCAAGGAAGACCUCACUUCGACCCAUCAAGAAGAGUAUUUCACCCCAGUCGGGAGGCACAACCCAUAGGAGGAAGACUGUCCUGGACCACCAGCUUGUUGGUGAUGCUUGCAAGGAGGCUAUUUUAUUUUAUUUUUUAAAUAUAUAUAUAUAUCACCUUUAAUUAUCCAGCAUUGUAGACCAUCUUGAUGGGAGCCAUGGUCGACAGACAUACCUCCUUGCCGUCGGAAGAAGACAGAGCAAGAUUGGCAACUACUACAUCAUGGUGGACAAGAGGUUUGUUCCCUGCCAGGCAACUAGCGGUCUGUGUGCGUUUGAUGAACUGUUCAAUGCCCACUUUGUCUUUAACCUGACGUAUGACGAUGCUCUUGUCAACUUCUACACAUUUGUGCAGACAACCAUCGACAACAUUGAUGUAGACAAAACAAGAGAGGCCCCUAGCAUGAUAGAGUUGAGGAAAAAAACUUCUUAACUAGAUAAAUGUAGGUUACGGUGCUUUUGCUGUCAAGUGUUGCACAGAAACAGCCAGUCCUUGAUAUCUCAUUUGAGAAUUAAGCACAGUUUCUAUCCCUCCACCAAGUUUAGAUUGGUCGGUGCUCAAGAUAAUUGUAGAUGGCAGUUUUCAACGUACUCCGGUUUCAGAAAACAUUUGAAUAGUAUUCAUAAGGAUAUAUUGGUAAAGUAGUUGAUGCAUUAAUCUUAAAAGUGCCCUCUCAUGUUGCUGAUUCUCCAGUCCAGUCAGAAGCUCCACAAAUGGGUGGCAACAUUGGUGUCCCACACGAUAACACUCAGUGAUUGUUUUGAGAAGAAUGGACAGUCUUGCUAAAGAUAUGUGAGCCUCCUUCAUUGCCAUGUUGCAAGCUAGCGGUGUUGCAAAUAGUUGUGUCAACAGUAGUUUGUGAUUUAGAAGAGCUCACUACUGGGCUGCACUCCCAAAUUGAACAAGAUGUUCUGUCAGUUAUGCCUAUGGAUAACCCCUCUACAUCUGCUGUAAAGGAUCGUUUGGAGAACUUUGAAAACCCAUUUGCCAGUUUUAACACAGAAACCAAGAGAUGUUGUGGAGUCAGUAGAAGUAGUGUUGAGAGUUAGAUACGACAGCAGGCAAAAUAAACAAACAUGCAUGUAUGAUCAAGUCCCAGUGAAAGAUACAUUUGUAUUCCUACACUGGAAAUAUUGACGUUCAUGUGUCGACAAUUCUGAAAUCUGUAAGUUAUUGGAAAAUGCACCUAGGGAUAGAUCUGUGGAAGACACAUAUGAAGACUUUUGUGUUGGAAGUUUCUUUGAGACUCAUCCCUUGUUCUCAAAACCUAGAAAUGCUUUACAGAUCCAAUUGUACUAUGAUGACUUUGAAGCUGCCAACCUGCUUGGAUCCAAGCGUGGUGUUUACCAGAUAGGCACCGUUUAUUUUGUCCUCACGAAUCCCCACCAAGUUGAACUCUGCAGUGAUGAAUAUUCAUUUAUUUUCAUUAUUUCAUUAUCAAGAUCUAAAAGAAAUAUGUAUUUUAUGCCAUUCUAGAGCCCUUGGUUAAUGAUGUUAAAUUGGAGUGAUGGUGUAAAAUUACUUUCAACUGAUAGAGUUUAUGGCACUAUCUGCCAAAUAACCGGAGACAAUUUGGGGGUGCAUGCAGUCCUUGGUUUCAGAGUCCUUCAGUGGUCAUUACUUUUGCCGGUUCUGUUUGAUAGAAAAGUCGAAUGCUCAGACGGUUUACAGUGAGGAUGACCUUUGUGUGGUAAAUAUCAAUUUGAAAUGCAUUUGAAUCAGUUGCAGUCAGACCCACAGCUCCCGUCUGUGAAUGGUGUAAAGAAAUUCUAAACUGAACAGUUUGCAGCGCUUACAUGUUUGUAGUCAUUGUUCUGUGGACAUAAUGCAUGACAUUCUUGUAAAGGUGGCUCAGUUUGAGUUAAAAUUGUUUUUUGAAUAUGUCUCUGAAAAAUUUCUUUAGAAACGUGCACUUCUCUCUAGAAUCUACUCAUUUGACUAUGGGUACUUGGAACGCAAAAACC
ensembl:lncRNA